rnacentral:lncRNA from 1 species
UAAAUCAUAGCAAGGAGCAUCUCAAAAUCGCAUUAAAAGAUGUAUUUUCGGUGUCAAAACUCCAAAACUGUUAUCAUGGCUUAGAAAUUGAAAGCUUCAAAAGUGAUUCAAAUCUAGCAUAUUUAUGAGCACCCGAAGUUUUUUAAAAUGGACAAUCUUGGUGAUAAAUGAACUAAUUUUAAAACUUAAAAUUCAUAUUUUCUAUCGUAACAAGCAUAGUGGUCAAAAAGAUAAAUAAGAUAAUUUUUUAGUAACGAAACAACCCAUUUUUUCCUUUUCAAAUAUGAGAAUUUUUUUAAAAUUAAAAAAAAAAAAAAAUUUAGUUUUUUUUUCUGGUUUCUCACCUAAAAGCAGGCCGUGACUUCCCUCGUGAGAGGAGAGAAGAGGGAGAAAGUACGUGAGGUACGGGGAUAGAGCAGUGGUGUUAUUUUUGGGCAGUGUAUCUCCUCAGUCUAGCCCUGCCCUGCCCUGCUUAGCCUACCCCUAAUCUCUCUCUUCAGCUCAUCAUGAACACCAGGCCCCUGUCUCCCACUUUCCUCUCGUUCGAAAAACUGAACCACCUUUUCUCCUUACCCUAUUUGAACGUACAAAAAGUCUUCCUCUUUUGUUACUCUCAUUCAAACAAAUCAAUUAAUGCCUCUCUCUCCAUCAAUCAAUACAGAAUCAGUUCACACGGAA